CCUCUCAACGUGCGCUCCUCUUAACGUGCGUCUGCACAGCUGCUUGUGUGGCACAGCUGCUUGUGUGUUCUUCCGCCAAUGUGUGCAACUGCUUGUGUGUUCUUCCGCCAAUGUGUUCCUCUCGACGUCCAGCCACUUCUGUGCCUGCCUGCCUGUCUUGGGGUUUUUACAGGCACAGGAUAGGGGACGUGGCAGGCCAGGUGGUCUUGGAAAAUGCAAACUUGGGCAUGAAAACAGGAGCGCUUGUCCUCCCCUAUAUGCGUGUGCACAGGACCUGAGGUGAAGCCCUAGCCAGGGACCUGCCCUUCUCUACCCAGCGCUUUCCUUCUCUCAUCCCGAGUCAGUACUGCUGGGUCAUUGGCCUUAUCCCGCACCGAAGUUGAAACUUACACCAUCUGUUCACAUCAUCAGUUCUUCUGGUUCUCAUGCUUUUGAACUUCAACUGGCACAAUUCCACUGGCUCUCCUUAGUCUCCAGGUUGCAGAUGGCAGAUUAUAAAUCUCCUUAGCCUCCACCUUUAUAAUCCUAACUAUUACUGACACCUCUUUGAGGACAAAGGAAGUAGCUUUCUGCAAGCCAAAAAGACCUCAGAAAAACAACAAAUCUUCCAAACUCUUGAUUUUGACUUUUUGCCUCCAGAAUUGUGAAGAAA
rnacentral:lncRNA from 10 species